AUUAAAGUAGUUUAAUAAUUAAAAUAAGGAAUUGUGGGUUCCUGGAACCAUAUAGGCUUUAAUU
rnacentral:tRNA from 1 species